UGGGGGAUAUUGCACAAUGGGCGAAAGCCUGAUGCAGCGACGCCGCGUGGGGGAUGAAGGCCUUCGGGUUGUAAACUUCUUUUGCUCUGAACAAGGCAUGCCUUUGGGGUGUGUUGAGUGUAGGGGUUGAUUAGCGCCGGCUAACUACGUGCUAGCAGCCGCGGUAAUACGUAGGGCGGGAGCGUUGUCCGGAAUUAUUGGGCGUGAAGGGCUUGUAGGUGGCUGGUUGCGUCUGUCGUGAAAGCUCAUGGCUUAACUGUGGGUUUGCGGUGGGUACGGGUUGGCUUGAGUGCAGUAGGGGAGGCUGGAAUUCCUGGUGUAGCAGUGGAAUGCGCAGAUAUCAGGAGGAAUACCGGUGGCGAAGGCGGGUCUCUGGGCUGUUACUGACGCUGAGGAGCGAAAGCGUGGGGAGCGAACAGG
rnacentral:rRNA from 1 species